AAAAAAAGUUUCAAUCAUUGGGCUAUCAUCAUUUAAAGACAUGUAUUGGCGAGAAGAGUGUAGAUUGUGGUCACAUGACUUGUGAAUGCGUGUCAGGUUAAUGUGUGUAGGUUUACAAGUUGUAGCAGUUAGGAUUGUUAUGAAUGUUUUAUUAACGUGUUGAGACCCUAUGGCUAUACAGAUGUAUUUAAGAGAUUAAAAGAAGGCUGGAUGUUGGGCAAGGAAACAACGAAAACAAAAAGGUAACUCUGUCACGGGACAAAGAAAGAUAAUACGCAAGACGGAGGUUAGGGAAGUCGAGCCUCUGGAUGGACCACCAUUAAUCGUGAGUAGGCGUCUACAGCGUGCGACGCCCUUGAGGAGGAUAAAGUUCCCUUUCCAUGUCUGCCUAUCCAUUUCCUCUUAUGGAGGGUAGGAAAAGAUUGCAUACUCCAGAUGUUGACAUCAAUUCGUUCCUGUAUUCAGACAAGGGACAAGCAAGACCUAUGUGAUCGGGUGGGAUUGCAGAGAGGGAAAGUAUGAGGGAAUUGGGAAGAGAGGAAGCAAGAUCAAACUAAAACUGUUCCAUUACCUGCACUGACUAUGUGAGUAAGAC